rnacentral:rRNA from 1 species
UACGUAGGGGGCAAGCGUUGUCCGGAUUUAUUGGGCGUAAAGAGCGUGUAGGCGGCCUGACAAGUCUGCUGUGAAAACUCGAGGCUCAACCUCGAGAUGUCGGCGGAAACUGUCUGGCUAGAGUCCGGAAGAGGAGAGUGGAAUUCCUGGUGUAGCGGUGAAAUGCGCAGAUAUCAGGAAGAACACCGGUGGCGAAGGCGGGAUCCUGGGCCCAGUACUGACGGCUGAGGAGCGAAAGCGUGGGGAGCAAAGCAGGGAUUAAGAA